rnacentral:tRNA from 1 species
GCGGACGUAGCUCAGUUGGUAGAGCACCACCUUGCCAAGGUGGGGGUCGCGAGUUCGAGUCUCGUCGUCCGCUCCG